GGGGGGAGGCUGGAUCCUGGGCUGUGUCCCGGCGCCCUGUGCUCCGGAGCCUGCGCUGGUGGAUUCACGCUCCCGCCCCGCAGCCCCCU
rnacentral:pre_miRNA from 1 species